rnacentral:rRNA from 1 species
UACGGGGGAGCAAGCGUUGUUCGGAUUUACUGGGCGUAAAAGGCGCGUAGGCGGCGUGACAAGUCACUUGUGAAAUCUCCGGGCUUAACUCGGAACGGUCAAGUGAUACUGUCGUGCUAGAGUACAGAAGGGGCACUGGAAUUCUCGGUGUAGCGGUGAAAUGCGUAGAUAUCGAGAGGAACACCUGCGGCGAAGGCGGGUUGCUGGGCUGAUACUGACGCUGAGGCGCGAAAGUUAGGGGAGCGAACGGG